rnacentral:misc_RNA from 1 species
AAGUCGUAGUGGUUGCGAGUACGAAUUGUUACUCGAAAGGUUUCGAGGUGGCGUAUCCCGGGGCGUGUCUCACAAAAAAACCCUGCCGAUGCGCCGGAUCCUAGAGGUCCAGGCGUCGGAACCCCGAACAGCUCUC